AAUAAAAUCCUCCGCCGGGCCCCACCUGUCAGCCCCUUCCCUCUCCUUCUCUGUUUUCUCCCGCGCGCCGCGGCACGCGUCGCCGCCGCCGGCCAUCCUCGUGAGCCGCGCCACGUGCCGGCCAUCUUCGCGUCCCGUGCCACGGUCGUCCUCCCCCACGCCCUUAUCCGCGCCCGGUCGACCCCCGUUCCCUUCCAACCCAAACCCUAGCCCCCUCCUCCAUUGACGCCGCCGCCCCGAGCUCCCUCCUCGCCGCCGAUUCGCCGCUCACAGUGAGUCCCUAGUCGAUUCUUCGCGGGUGGAGCGUCUCCUCGCUUCCCUCGACCCGUUCCACCCCUAACCCGGCCCCUUCCCCUCCCCUGCAGGGCCGGCGACGAGCGCCUCCGCCCGCCGCCGCCUCUGCUCGUCGCGCCACCGGUCCGCCGCCGCUCCUCGCCCGCAUCGCCGCCGUGACCGGACCGUCGGAGAGCGAACCCGGGGAACCCGUCGAGUCCGUUGAGCCGGAGCUUGGAGUCCCGUUCGUGGUCGAGCCGGAAGUUAACCCAGGCAAGCAGCUAAGCAUUUUCCUUGCACCUAUUUAAUCUGAUUUAGUUAGCUAUCUCAUCGGGUACUGUUGGGUUAUAUAUUAUCUAUGUAUUGCAUCCUUGUACCUACUUUGAUGCACUAGCCAUCCUUGAAUUGUUUAACCAUGUCCUUGCCACGUGUUAGUCAGCUAAUAACUUAAUUUGACUAGAUGCUUAGUUUUGCUUUGAA